rnacentral:rRNA from 1 species
UACGUAGGGGGCAAGCGUUGUCCGGAUUUACUGGGGGUAAAGGGUGCUCAGGUGGUCUGAUAAGUCAGAGGUGAAAGCCCAGGGCUCAACCCUGGAACUGCCUUUGAUACUAUCAGGCUUGAGUAUGGAAGAGGUUGAUGGAAUUUCUGGUGUAGCAGUGAAAUGCGUAGAUAUCAGAAAGAACACCAGUGGCGAAGGCGAUCAACUGGACCAUUACUGACACUAAAGCACGAAAGCGUGGGGAGCAAACAGG